AUGAAGUCUCUUAUUCUAAAUGUGGUAUGCUCCAAGUUUUUGGGGUCUAAAACCAAUAUUCUGUCAUCCCAAGCCCCAACAUGCUCUUUCAAUGAAGAUGCAAAAAAUUUGAGGGAUUUUCAUGAGUUUUUGAAGAUGAUAUGCAAAAACCAGUUGAAGCUUGUGGUGAACCAGAUUUUUAGUUUCCACUUGAAGAAGGGUCAACCUCGGAUGAACUUGGAAACAUAUCUUUGUUGCUGUAAGGCACUUACUUGCUGAUAUGACUCAACUGUGUAACCAAGGUUGUCUGGUUUUGUUAAUGUGGAGGAGCCCCCACCUUGAGGAGAGUGGAUGUCUGUCUUGUCACAGUCAAGGAAAAAAAAAGGUUAUCGGUUAGAUAGCUGCUACAAAGUUUUUGAGCAAAAUGGAAGCAAAGAGAGGACUGUCGGCUUUAGGAGGUACACGAUGGCUGAUAGAGAUAUCGCAACGAACUUGACCCGAUUUUGCUGGUUCUUAAAUUUCUGUGAGCUUUAUUGACUGGUAUUAGUGGAACUUCAAAGUGGAAUCACUGGACGUCCAUUCCGGCAUGAUUAGGCAUUCAAACGGACUGCUAAUGCACGUAUAUAUACAUCCGAGGUGAUGACAACAGUGCCACUGCAAAAAAGGGAGGGAUAAGGGGAGCUGUCGGCAAGGCCAAGUAAUGUUGACUGCUCACCAACCAUAGAGGCGGCUCUUUUUUCUUUCUUUUUUUUUGUUAUACCCCUAUGGUAUGGCCUUUUUAUUGUUCAUUCCACUAAUUUAUUUAUUUUUUCUUUAAUAAAAAGGGGAAGAAAAGUAUAAUCAUUAAGUAUAGGACAAAGAGGAGGACCCUCUUUCUUAUACAAAGAAUCUUGACACUUUCAUGUUACGCCAUGAUUAACUUUUUUUUCUCUUUUUCAGUAUAAUCACAGGUGUUUUCAUCUGUUUUACUAUUUAACAGUAAAAACUGUAUGAGUUAAGGAUGAUAUUCAGUUAAAAGACUUCCCAAUAAUGUUAACUGUAAUAUCUGAACUUGGUUCAAA